CCCUGUUUGUCAAAGCCUUUUCCUUCUAGCAUCUGUUACGAUGAUGCCAACAGGUGCAUGUUGGGUGUUGCUAACGUGCUAACUGCUAACAUGCUCAUGGUGGUUCCUCCAGGUGACUAACCUUCAGUGAGGUGUGUGAGGCCUCCGUGAUGUGACUGGACUUUAGCAUUGGGAACCUGGAGCAGAUCGAGGGGGACUUCAGGUCCACCGGACUCACACAAUGACUUUCAGACAGCAUCAGGGUCCCUCGCUGACACCGUCUUCACCACCGUCCCGAUCUCAGCAUCCUCCGACAGCUCGAUGUAGUACGCUGGCGAGUCAAACAACGGGGGCUCGUCCACGUCCUCCACGCUCACGUGCACGAUGGUGACGUCCUUGAAGGGCCCGCGGUGGCGGAGGGCAGGGUCCAGGUUGGUGGGGUCAGUGCUGAUGUCAAAGGUGUCCCUUCCGUCUCCAUCGAUGAUGCUGUACUUCAUCUCAGCAUUGACCCCGAUGUCCCUGUCCUUUGCCCAGAUACGACCCACCGCUGAACCCACAGGAGCCGACUCUGGGACGCUCAUCUGAUACAGCCCUGAGGAAAGCAGUGAUCAGUGAUCAUCCUGUCGUACCGGUAUUCUCCUCUAGAGGGAGCCAAACCUCUUCCAUCACUUGUGAUGUCUGCUCCCUCCUCUCAAAAUCACGUCUCAGACAGCCUAAAAUAAAUGGCUCCAUAAAUGCCUCACAAUUGGGUUAUAUAUUGUCUCAGGGGUUGGCUUCAAUUUUCAUCUACCAUUUAACCUCUAAGAAGAGGUGACAGCUGCCCAAUUUGUGGCGCUCCCUGCAGUCCAAAGUAAAAUGCCUGCACAUUGUGGUUGACAGAGGGGAAUCCCUGAAGCUCUUCACAACCGAUCAAAGUUCCAUCGAAGUGAUGGCGCUAAUUGGUGGGGGACCAGUGAGGGAAAUGGGCGGCGGGUGUUUUCUUUAUCUAGGAGUGAAGCCACCCGUCGGGUAGGAAGAGAUGACCACGGACAGCUAGACAACCCCUGACCUCAGGGAGGACGGUAAUGAGACGAGCAGACAUCGGGAUAAUCAAAGAGACAGCAAGGGAGGGAGGGGAUGGAAGAGGCCAGGGGGCAAAUGUCCAGGGAGCGGUGGCCAGGGGUGGACUGAGGGAGAAGGGCAGAGGGGCCAACGCUUUGGAUGCUCCAGAGAAAUGAGGUGGAUAAAUGCAGCGCUUUGUUAGGGGCUUAUUAUCAUCUACACUGAACUGUAAACUCUUGUGGUGUUUGUGUCACUUUGAAUAUAAGCGUGGCGUACACAUGCUGCGUUCAGUUUUAUUGCACGCAUGCCUGCCGCACUGCUGCCCCACAUGCAGACAUCUUCAGCUGAAACACACUGACGAGUCAAACCACAAGUCGAGUUCCAGCCCUGAAACUAAACAGUGUGGUGUUUUUGAAAUUAAAGUGAACUGCAGGGUCAUUUGAGGGCUUUGCCUUGAGGUUUGAGGGCGUUUCAGCCUCAUGUAGGUUACAGACCAACAAAGAAGUAAGCUCGUGGUACAACAUGCAACACGGGGGCUGUAUACUGUAGACUCGUGCCAAGUUGUAAUGAAAUACUUAAUAGCUUACACAUGCAAUCCUCAGGAGUCAAAUGUAAUUCUUCCUAUAGGUUUGUAGCAAAAGGCUAAUAAAUGA